rnacentral:rRNA from 1 species
AUUGAACGCUGGCGGCAUGCCUUACACAUGCAAGUCGAACGGUAACAGGUCUUCGGAUGCUGACGAGUGGCGAACGGGUGAGUAAUACAUCGGAACGUGCCCGAUCGUGGGGGAUAACGGAGCGAAAGCUUCGCUAAUACCGCAUACGAUCUACGGAUGAAAGCAGGGGACCGCAAGGCCUUGCGCGAACGGAGCGGCCGAUGGCAGAUUAGGUAGUUGGUGGGAUAAAAGCUUACCAAGCCGACGAUCUGUAGCUGGUCUGAGAGGACGACCAGCCACACUGGGACUGAGACACGGCCCAGACUCCUACGGGAGGCAGCAGUGGGGAAUUUUGGACAAUGGGCGCAAGCCUGAUCCAGCAAUGCCGCGUGCAGGAUGAAGGCCUUCGGGUUGUAAACUGCUUUUGUACGGAACGAAAAGGCUCUGGUUAAUACCUGGGGCUCAUGACGGUACCGUAAGAAUAAGCACCGGCUAACUACGUGCCAGCCGCCGCAGUAAAAC